CCCUAAAUAAAUUAGAGGUGUGACCUGCCCAAUGAUUGUAAGGUUAAAAAUAUUAAAGUAUUUCAAUACAAUUUAAAGGACGCGGUAUCUUGACCGUGGUAAUGUAGCAUAAUCACUCGCCAUUUAAUUGAUGGAUAGUAUGAACGGUUAAACGAGUAUAACACUGUCUCAAAUAGAAAAUUUAUAAAAUUGGAAUAAUAGUAAAGAUACUAUUUAAAAUUGUAAGACGAAAAGACCCUAUAGAGCUUAACUAUAUUCUCUUUAAUUAAAAGGUAAAUUAAUUUACCCAACAAAGAGAAAGAUAGUUUAGUUGGGGCGACUGCUUUCUAAAUUAAACGAAAGCUAGCAGAUAUUAAUAAAAAAAUUUACUGUAUAACCCACAGAUUUAACAGUUACUAUAGUAGGCUAUAAUGACCCGUUUUUUCCCCAGAACAAAGAAAAACGAUCAAAGAAUAAAAGCUACCUUAGGGAUAACAGGAUAAUUUUAUUCUAGAGAUCAAAUCGAAGAUAAAGUUUGUCACCUCUAUGUUGAAUUAAGGUAACCUAAUAGUGCAGAAGCUAUUGAGGGUAGGUCUGUUCGACCUUUAAAA
rnacentral:rRNA from 1 species